rnacentral:rRNA from 1 species
GACGAACGCUGGCGGCGUGCUUAACACAUGCAAGUCGAACGGAAAGGCCCUGCUUUUGUGGGGUGCUCGAGUGGCGAACGGGUGAGUAACACGUGAGUAACCUGCCCUUGACUUUGGGAUAACUUCAGGAAACUGGGGCUAAUACCGGAUAGGAGCUCCUGCUGCAUGUUGGGGGUUGGAAAGUUUCGGCGGUUGUGGAUGGACUCGCGGCUUAUCAGCUUGUUGGUGGGGUAGUGGCUUACCAAGGCUUUGACGGGUAGCCGGCCUGAGAGGGUGACCGGCCACAAUGGGACUGAGAUACGGACCAGACUCCUACGGGAGGCAGCAGUGGGGAAUAUUGCACAAUGGGCGGAAGCCUGAUGCAGCAACGCCGCGUGCGGGAUGACGGCCUUCGGGUUGUAAACCGCUCUCGCAUGUGACGAAGCGUGAGUGACGGUAAUGGGUAAAGAAGCACCGGCUAACUACGUG